AGGCAAGUCGCGACAACGGACGCCGCUCCACUCCCUACGGCAGGCUCCACGUGGCGCGCUGCAGUGAGGGCCGUGGGUCUACUCCACUACUCCUCACAACAAAUUCCUCCUGACUCUGAGCAGCCCACUACCAGACGGUUAUAGGCAUCGCUAUCAAUCUGUUGCCCCUCCCAUCUAUAAAAGGGAAACCCCAGAUACG
rnacentral:lncRNA from 1 species